rnacentral:rRNA from 1 species
AUAUCAAUAAGCGGAGGAAAAGAAACCAACCGGGAUUGCCUUAGUAACGGCGAGUGAAGCGGUAAAAGCUCAAAUUUGAAAUCUAGUACCUUCGGUGCUCGAGUUGUAAUUUGUAGAGGAAUACUUUGGGGCCGUUCCUUGUCUAUGUUCCUUGGAACAGGACGUCAUAGAGGGUGAGAAUCCCGUGUGGCGAGGAGUGCGGUUCUAUGUAAAGUGCUCUCGAAGAGUCGAGUUGUUUGGGAAUGCAGCUCUAAGUGGGUGGUAAAUUCCAUCUAAAGCUAAAUAUUGGCGAGAGACCGAUAGCGAACAAGUACAGUGAUGGAAAGAUGAAAAGAACUUUGAAAAGAGAGUGAAAAAGUACGUGAAAUUGUUGAAAGGGAAGGGCAUUUGAUCAGACAUGGUGUUUUGUGCCCUCUGCUCCUUGUGGGUGGGGGAAUCUCGCAGCUCACUGGGCCAACAUCAGUUUUGGCGGCAGGAUAAAUCUAUAGGAAUGUAGCUUGCUUCGGUAAGUGUUAUAGCCUGUGGGAAUACUGCCAGCUGGGACUGAGGACUGCGACUUUGUCAAGGAUGUUGGCAUAAU